CACGUAGGGUGCGAGCGUUGUCCGGAAUUAUUGGGCGUAAAGAGCUCGUAGGCGGUGUGUCGCGUCGGCCGUGAAAACCUGCAGCUUAACUGUGGGCUUGCGGUCGAUACGGGCAUCACUGGAGUUCGGCAGGGGAGACUGGAAUUCCUGGUGUAGCGGUGAAAUGCGCAGAUAUCAGGAAGAACACCCGUGGCGAAGGCGGUUCUCUGGGACGGUACUGAC
rnacentral:rRNA from 1 species